CACCGCCCGCCGCUGCCUGCGCGGGGACGCCGAGGGGCAGGCCCGCGAGAGCGGAAGGGCGGGGCCGCCGGGCCGCAGCCCGGCCCUGCGCGGCUGACGGUGCCUACACCUGCUGGGGCGAGCGCGGGGGCGGGAGCUCCGCGGAGCGGGGCACGGAAUAUGGCCGCAGUCGGUUUAGGACCAGCCGGGUAGGGUCCCGGCGCGCCCCAGCCUACGCUGCAAGGUGGCUCUCGCCGUCCCGGUCUUGCAUAGGAGGAAACGGAAAUUCAGAGAAGUAAAGUAACUUGCCCAAGGUCACGCAGGACUGGGACUGGAUCCAGGAAUUAGGCUCUGUCAGAUUCCAAGGCUGCUUUUUCCAUGACACCAACACGGCCUCUAUUUCGAGGCCUGAAGUGGUUAAAAACAAAAACCAUUUCUAAGCCUAUGAGAUGUUGCCGAGUGUCAAAUCCUCUGAAGAAAUUUUUGGCUGCCAAGUUCAAGUUAAUCAAUGGUCGUUCCAAUAUCCACAUUCAGGCACUUAAAUUCAAAAUGAUGGAAUUUCUCCUGAGAAUUGGAUUUUGGCGGUCAAUGAGCAUUAACGACUUCUUAGAUUUAAAAAAUCUCAUGUUAGAAUCUGUGCUACGCCCAAUGAACCUAUUUUUGUUUUGUAAGACAUAAAAAUCUUAUCAGAGAUAAAGCCAAAGAUUUCUUUCCACUUUGCCAUUUAAGAAUAAAAAGCUGCAAUUUAGAUUUUCACAAUUUUUA